rnacentral:rRNA from 1 species
GAUGAACGCUAGCGGGAGGCUUAAUACAUGCAAGUCGAACGGUAAGACUCUCUUCGGAGAGUACACGAGUGGCGCACGGGUGAGUAACGCGUACACAAUCUACCCUUAAGCGGAGAAUACCCCUGGGAAACUGGGAAUAAUACUCCAUAAUAUUCAUGAAUGGCAUCUUUUGUGAAUUAAAGUUCCGGCGCUUAAGGAUGAGUGUGCGUCCCAUUAGCUAGUUGGUAGGGUAAAGGCCUACCAAGGCGACGAUGGGUAGGGGGCGUGAGAGCGUGAUCCCCCACACGGGUACUGAGACACGGACCCG